ACAUAACUUUGUAAACACCAAAGUACAAUGAACUUACGGAAAUAUGCAAUUUUAUGAAAGAAAUAUUGUUCAGUUCGAUGAAUCAUAAAUUAAAUGUGUCUUAAAAUGUGCCGUUUUAUCGAUAUAUACGCGUUUAUUGCAAUUUAAGACGUUAGUUUUAGCUUGUUUUCUAUAUUAGUAAGUGGGCGUGUUUCGUCGCGAAUGAUUCGAUUUUUAUUAAAUAUUUAUAGUGGAAGUGGAGUGGAAUUUUAUGUGAAACAAAAUUAAAUUGAAAUUGUGAUUAAAUAAUAUCUACUUCUCACAAAUAUUAAAUGUUAUGAUCCAGUUAACAAAGUAGCAAGAUGGAGGAAACAAGUGAAGCAAGCUAUUGUGAAAAAGAGAGUUGGGAUGAGUGGGGCAGUCACUCUUCUCUGAGUCAACAAGAAGAGGUGAGAACUUGUUUUUUUACAUCUCUUUU
rnacentral:lncRNA from 1 species